rnacentral:rRNA from 1 species
UACGGAGGGUGCAAGCGUUAUCCGGAUUUAUUGGGUUUAAAGGGUCCGUAGGCGGACUGUUAAGUCAGCGGUGAAAGCCCACAGCUCAACUGUGGAACUGCCGUUGAUACUGGGGAGCUUGGAGUCCGGGAGAGGUGAGUGGAACUGCGAGUGUAGAGGUGAAAUUCGUAGAUAUUCGCAAGAACACCAGUGGCGAAGGCGGCUCACUGGCCCGGUACUGACGCUGAGGUGCGAAAGCGUGGGGAGCAAACAGG